rnacentral:misc_RNA from 1 species
UCACUAACUGGGCGAACCUCAUUGUCAUUGAGGAGAUACCAUAUACCACUUGAUGUGCGAACAAAACAGACAUAGUGACCAGAAUGGGUACUAUGACCAAAAUGUACCAGAACACCAUAGAGACUGUACUUCAAAUCUCCUUCAUAGGAACCACUGACAAAUGGUUUCAUGUCCAAUGAACGAUCAAAUGACACUUUCUUGUCAACUUUCCGUCCAGGAUCAUGUGCAUGAAAGCGCUUUAGAUGGAUGGUAAGCACAUAUGGAGCUUUAUGAACUGUAAGCCUUUUCUUAGCUC